CCGUCUUGUUCAGUACCUUACCCCCCCCCCCCGCAUGUCCCUGGUGCCUGACAUUUCGGUUGGUGACUAAAUAUUUGUUGAAGGGAAGAAACCCGAGCAGUAAGAAGGGAUCCGCAGAGAGAGAAAGUCACAGCGCACGUCCUUGUAAAAGCUCACUGCGGGAUUUGGGGUUUCUCCUGGGAGAGAACGGGAGCACUCCUGAAGCUUGUGUGUCCGACUGAUCUCAUAUUAUGGUCUCCGGGUGCUUCGUCUGUUUGCCUUGUUCAGAGGAUUCCAGGCGCCUGCGCCCUGAGAUACAGUCAGGCGUGGAUUCUGCGGCUUAGUCACCGUCACCGUACAAACAUCCCGAGGCACAAUGACGCAGACCGGCUACACGUCCAGGCAGCGCACCACUCAGCUGCGCACUGCAGACCACGACACCAAGGGAACCAUAAAGCAACCUGGACAUAGACAUGGUGGAUCAAGACACUCUAACUGCUCAGUCAGAACCCAGUGACGGAGGGUUGUUGAUGGUUGCUGGCACCACAAGCAAACAAAACAAGCCAAAUCUUUAAAGAAAAUAAUUACGAAAAAUCCUAUAGCUAAAUUAAAAGUUUUGUUUCAACAGAAAAACCUGAAAAGUGUGUGAUGUCCUACCAUGAGUUAAAUAUACAUGCCAAGAGGCUGCGGGGGGGGGGGGGGACUGCUCCACUGUUGGAGGGAGUGUGGACUGGUUC
rnacentral:lncRNA from 1 species